rnacentral:siRNA from 1 species
AUGUGGUGUUACCAAUCGGAACCU